UCAGCACAAGGGUUCAAGAAGGAGCAGAUGGAAACAGCUGCCAACAGAUGAGUACUGGAAUGGAUUCAAGCCACACUACUUGCUGGAACUUGAGAGUUUGUGAUGGCCUGAGCUUUCCCAACCACAGAUGCUGUCUGAAGACUGUGAAUAUCUUUGCUGUUCCUGCACCAACAAACGUGACAUGAUGGAAAGAGGAUAAAACAGAGCAUGGAGUUCACCAAGCAAUGAUUUCAGGAAGAAAUGUAAUUAAUAUUUUUCCCAGCAGAUGUGGCUGUUGGACCAGAAGAGGCUCAAGUUUGUUGUGGAAUAUUGAAAGUAGGAAAAAGAUCCUCUUCAUUCUCAUACUGGCAAAUGAUCUGAUG